rnacentral:rRNA from 1 species
UACAGAGGUCUCAAGCGUUGUUCGGAUUCAUUGGGCGUAAAGGGUGCGUAGGCGGCGCGGUAAGUCGGGUGUGAAAUCUCGGAGCUUAACUCCGAAACUGCAUUCGAUACUGCCGUGCUUGAGGACUGGAGAGGAGACUGGAAUUUACGGUGUAGCGGUGAAAUGCGUAGAUAUCGUAAGGAACACCGGUGGCGAAGGCGGCUUUCUGGACAGUAACUGACG